UACAGAGGGGGCAAGCGUUGUUCGGAAUUACUGGGCGUAAAGGGCGCGUAGGCGGCCUGUUAAGUCGAACGUGAAAUCCCCGGGCUCAACCCGGGAACUGCGUCCGAUACUGGCAGGCUUGAAUCCGGGAGAGGGAUGUGGAAUUCCAGGUGUAGCGGUGAAAUGCGUAGAGAUCGGGAGGAACAUCAGUGGCGAAGGCGACCCUCUGGACCAGCACUGACGCUGAGGCACGAAAGCGUGGGGAGCAAACAGG
rnacentral:rRNA from 1 species